rnacentral:rRNA from 1 species
GACGAACGCUGGCGGCGUGCUUAACACAUGCAAGUCGUACGGUAAGGCCCUUUCGGGGGUACACGAGUGGCGAACGGGUGAGUAACACGUGAGUAACCUGCCCACAACUUUGGGAUAACGCUAGGAAACUGGUGCUAAUACUGGAUAUGUGCUCCUGCUGCAUGGUGGGGGUUGGAAAGCUCCGGCGGUUGUGGAUGGACUCGCGGCCUAUCAGCUUGUUGGUGGGGUAGUGGCCUACCAAGGCGGCGACGGGUAGCCGGCCUGAGAGGGUGACCGGCCACAUUGGGACUGAGAUACGGCCCAGACGCCUACGGGAGGCAGCAGUGGGGAAUAUUGCACAAGGGGCGCAAGCCUGAUGCAGCAACGCCGCGUGCGGGAUGACGGCCUUCGGGUUGUAAACCGCUUUCAGCAGGGACGAAGCUUUUUGUGACGGUACCUGCAGAAGAAGCACCGGCUAACUACGUG